GCACCAGUGGUGGAACGGUAGACACGCGGGCUUGAGGGGCUCGUGCCUUAGGGCGUGGAAGUUCAAAUCUUCUCUGGUGCACCA
rnacentral:tRNA from 1 species